AUUGAACGCUGGCGGCAGGCUUAACACAUGCAAGUCGAGCGGGGGAAGGUAGCUUGCUACCGGACCUAGCGGCGGACGGGUGAGUAAUGCUUAGGAAUCUGCCUAUUAGUGGGGGACAACAUCUCGAAAGGGAUGCUAAUACCGCAUACGUCCUACGGGAGAAAGCAGGGGAUCUUCGGACCUUGCGCUAAUAGAUGAGCCUAAGUCGGAUUAGCUAGUUGGUGGGGUAAAGGCCUACCAAGGCGACGAUCUGUAGCGGGUCUGAGAGGAUGAUCCGCCACACUGGGACGGAGGAACGGCCCAGACUCCUACGGGAGGCAGCAGUGGGGAAUAUUGGACAAUGGGGGGAACCCUGAUCCAGCCAUGCCGCGUGUGUGAAGAAGGCCUUAUGGUUGUAAAGCACUUUAAGCGAGGAGGAGGCUACUCUAGUUAAUACCUAGGGAUAGUGGACGUUACUCGCAGAAUAAGCACCGGCUAACUCUGUGCCAGCAGCCGCCGUAA
rnacentral:rRNA from 1 species